GUGAAACUUGCAGCACAUAUACUAAAAUUGGAACGAUACAGAGAAGAUUAGCAUGGCCCCUGCACAAGGAUGACACGCAAAUUUGUGAAAUGUUCUUAAGUGCU